rnacentral:rRNA from 1 species
CACGUAGGCACCAAGCGUUGUCCGGAUUUAUUGGGCGUAAAGAGCUCGUAGGCGGUUCAGUAAGUCGGGUGUGAAAACUUUGGGCUUAACCCAAAGCGUGCAUCCGAUACUGCUGUGACUUGAGUUCGGUAGGGGAGUGGGGAAUUCCUAGUGUAGCGGUGAAAUGCGCAGAUAUUAGGAGGAACACCGGUGGCGAAGGCGCCACUCUGGGCCGAAACUGACGCUGAGGAGCGAAAGCAUGGGAUAGCAAACAG